GGGUAAACUAAAUUUUUCUGUCUCCUAAGAAGCAAUAAAAAUUUACUUACUAGUGAAGAGGCUAGCAUAAAAAUAAAAGACAAGAAGACCCUAUAGAGCUUCCCGUAAUCUUUACAAUUAAAGCCUACCGGUUUUGUUGGGGCGACAGGGGAAAAAGAAAAACUUCCCUUUAACUAAGGCCAAUUAGCCUCUACCUUUACCCUUAAAAAAGGAUUUAAAAAAGCUACCUUAGGGAUAACAGGCUAAUUCUUCUUAAGAGCUCUAAUCGACAGAAGAGAUUGGCACCUCGAUGUUGGCUUAAGGUCCCUAUUUGGCGCAGAAGUUAAAUAAGGUGGUUUGUUCAACCAUUAAAUCCUU
rnacentral:rRNA from 1 species